GAUGAAGAACGCAGCGAAAUGCGAUAAGUAAUGUGAAUUGCAGAAUUCAGUGAAUCAUCGAAUCUUUGAACGCACCUUGCGCUCCCUGGUAUUCCGGGGAGCACGCCUGUUCGAGUGUCGCGAAAUUCUUCAAGCCUUGGAUGGAUUUUUUUUUGUCUGUCCUUGGGCUUGGUUGUUGGGCUCUGCCGUGUCCUUCAUUGGGACGGCUGGCCUUAAAAGCAUUAGCCGAUCCUCGUGGGGUACUGGUUCUACUCAGCGUGAUAACAAUCUGAUCGUUGAGGACAUCUUCUGGAUGGCCAGUCAUCAUUUGGGUUGCUUCUAAACCGGUUUCGCAGAUUGCUCAAUCUGUGUGCCACUUUUCAGCUUUGACCUCGAAUCAGGUGGGACUACCCGCUGAACUUAAGCAUAUCAAUAAGCGGAGGA
rnacentral:misc_RNA from 1 species